GUUUCCUUGUAGGCUGCCCCAAAGCAGUGGGAUUUUCAGCCGGGUCCGGGCUGGGCGCCUGCAGGUGUUGCCUGGGGUUGGAUGUGGGAUUUCAGCCAGCGGUGGGAUGGGGGCUCGGGGAUGUGGGGCUCCCUGUGUGGGUCCUAAGGAUCCAGGUUCCCUGUGUGGGGCUCAGAUCUGUGGGGUCCCUGUGGGGCUCAGAUCUGUGGGGCUCAGAUCCAUGGGGUCCCUGUGGGGCUCAGAUCCGUGGGGUCCCUGUGUGGGGCUCGGAUCCGUGGGGCUCAGAUCCAUGGGGUCCCCGUGGGGCUCAGAUCCGU
rnacentral:lncRNA from 1 species